AUCCUUUGACCACUCUAGAGAUAGAGCUUUCCCUUCGGGGACAAAGUGACAGGUGGUGCAUGGUUGUCGUCAGCUCGUGUCGUGAGAUGUUGGGUUAAGUCCCGCAACGAGCGCAACCCUUAUUGUUAGUUGCCAUCAUUUAGUUGGGCACUCUAGCGAGACUGCCGGUGACAAACCGGAGGAAGGUGGGGAUGACGUCAAAUCAUCAUGCCCCUUAUGACCUGGGCUACACACGUGCUACAAUGGGAAAUACAACGAGUUGCGAAGUCGCGAGGCUAAGCUAAUCUCUUAAAGUUUCUCUCAGUUCGGAUUGUAGGCUGCAACUCGCCUACAUGAAGCCGGAAUCGCUAGUAAUCGCGGAUCAGC
rnacentral:rRNA from 1 species